GUUACAACCAAGAUGGGGAAAAUGUUGCUUCUGAGGGGAAAACGUUGUCUGAGGAGUCUCCAUUUCUGCAGAAACAUUCAGAUGAAGGACAUAGCCUUGAA